AACGGCCGUACAAUGCUGAAUAUACCGGUUCUCGUUAGAUCACCGAAGUUAAGCAUCAUUGGGCGCGGUCAGUACUUGGGAGGGUGACCACCUGGGAACACUGCGUGCCGUU
rnacentral:rRNA from 1 species